GCUAGUAAAGCUUUACUGGUGAAGCAGCCGUUUUGUAAUCGGAAGACUUGAGGUUCAAGUCCUCAUACUGGCA